CUCCAUUUCCCGGCAGCCCCCGCGGCGCGGCCGGGGGAGAUGGCGGCCUGGGCGCGGGCGGUGCGGGGGCUGCUGCUGGAUGUCAGCGGCGUCCUCUACGACAGCGGCGGCGAGGGCGGCGGGGUGCCCAUCGCCGGCUCGGUGGAGGCGGUGCGCAGGAUCAAAGCGGCUGGUCUGAAGCUGCAGUUCUGCACUAACGAAACCCAAGCGACCCGGGAGAAGUUUGUGAAGAAGCUCCAGGGCAUGGGCUUUGACAUCUCCAUGGCCGAAGUCACCGCCCCAGCCCCAGCAGCGUGCCGCAUUUUGAAGGAGCGCAGCCUGAGGCCGCACUUGCUGGUGCACAAUGAUCUUGUCCCUGAAUUUGCCGAGAUUGAUAAAACAAACCCAAACUGCGUGGUUAUCGGAGAUGCAGCAGAAAACUUCACCUAUGCAAACCUUAAUGAAGCUUUCCGAGUUCUGAUUGGGAUGGAGAAGCCUGUUUUGAUCUCUCUUGGAAGAGGACGCUACUAUAAAGAAACUGAUGGCCUGAAACUUGAUGUUGGAGCGUAUAUGAAGGCAUUAGAGUACGCUUGUGAUGUUGAAGCUGAAGUAGUGGGAAAACCAGCAAAAAUGUUUUUUGAGUCAGCCUUAGCAGAAAUGGGAGUUCCACCACAGCAGGCCAUCAUGAUUGGAGAUGAUAUUGUGAGUGAUGUAGGAGGUGCCCAGCGGUGCGGUAUGAGAGCUCUGCAAGUGCGGACGGGGAAGUACAGAUGGCCGGAUAAGACCCCUGCACCUCCCAGCCUACCUGCUUGAUCGUGCUCACACCCUGAAAGCCAUAAACCAGAAAGCAAUUCUGAGGCUGCUGAAAGAGGGAAGGAGGCUCAAUGGCCCCAGCUUUCCUGCUCAGGCCCUGCGAUGAAAACCACCCCCACGUGAAGCCUGACGCGUACGUGAACAACCUUGCCGAAGCAGUUGACAUUAUCCUCCAGCAGCUGUAAAACUGAGGGCGCGGUGGGCGACGGGCAGGAGCGGGAACGAAGCCCUUCACGCAGCCCCUCCACGGGGCUCCUCGUCCUCUCCCACCUCCACCUGACGUGAACAGACCCAGCCUUGCCUGGGCUGGUGGAUGCCAGCGUUCCUAAAUAUUUCACAUUAACGGUACUAAAAUGACCUGCUGACCUCCUCGGAGGGGGCACCGAACGUGCUGUCCUCCAUCAUGUCUUGAAUGCCUUCCCCUUGGUGCCGUGCCCUGCCAAAAGUCUUUCCCAAAAGGGCCGGCCUUUUCCCCAGCCGGGGCUCAGCCUUGUCUGCCCGAGGGGAGCCCUGGGGGCGGUGGGGGGGCUCUGCCUCCUCCGGGCGAUGCUGGGGGGGGCUGCACCCCUUUUGCUCACACCAGGGACCCAGCCUGGAGGUGCCUGGGUGGGAAACGGGGGACCUGGCACCCCUUCAUGAAGAGGCUGUUCUGGUUAACUCGCCCACGCUGCACCUUUUGGGGUGCCUGAGAUCACAGAACCACAGAAUUAUAGAAUCAUUUGGGUUGGCAGAGACCCUUAAGGUCAUCAAGUCCAACUGCUGAGCCAGGACUGGCAAGCCCACCGCUAACCGGUGUCACUGAGAGAUGGGAGGGGGCUGUCCCCGCGGGGUGACGGAGGCCAGCAAGCCCCCGGCACGGGUGCGCCGGCCCAGCCUGGCUCUGCGGGGUCCCGUGUGUGCCCCUCGCUGUGGGCAGCACAAACCCUGGGGAGUGGGACAGCCCCUGCUCCCGUGGGAAGCCGAUAACCCUGUUCCGCCGUGGUUAACCCCUCCCUGGCCCCGGCCCGGGGUCACAUUAUGCGAAUAUUAUGCGAAUAUCACAAACGCUGUGACACAUUAUGGAAUAACUGCGUCGUCCUGUCAGGAAUAAACCCCAUCCUGCGG